GGAGAGGUAGCCAAGUGGUUGACGGCACCGGUCUUGAAAACCGGCAGGGCGAAAGCCCUCGUGGGUUCGAAUCCCACCCUCUCCGCCA
rnacentral:tRNA from 1 species